GAAAUUACGUGGCAGGGGAGAUACCAUGAUCACAAAGGUGGUUUUCCCACGGUGAGGCUUGUCCAUUGCACUCCGGAUGUGCUGACCCCUGCAAUUUUCCCAAAUGUGGGAAACUUGACUACAUGAUUUGUGGUAGUGGGGGAUUGCGUUCGUGCUUUUCCCUU
ensembl:snRNA U1 U1 spliceosomal RNA